GACAGAGGGUGCAAACGUUGUUCGGAAUUACUGGGCGUAAAGCGUGUGUAGGCGGUCUGCUAAGUCGGGUGUGAAAGCCCUGGGCUCAACCCAGGAAGUGCACUCGAAACUGGCAGGCUAGAGUACUGGAGAGGUUGGUGGAAUUCUCGGUGUAGAGGUGAAAUUCGUAGAUAUCAAGCAGAACACCAGUGGCGAAGGCGAGUCUCUGGACAUUUCCUGACGCUGAGGCACGAAAGCCAGGGGAGCAAACGGG
rnacentral:rRNA from 1 species